UAGGGAAUCUUCCGCAAUGGACGAAAGUCUGACGGAGCAACGCCGCGUGAGUGAUGAAGGUAUUCGGAUCGUAAAACUCUGUUGUUAGGGAAGAACAAGUAUAAGGCGAAUAACCUUAUACCUUGACGGUACCUAACCAGAAAGCCCCGGCUAACUACGUGCCAGCAGCCGCGGUAAUACGUAGGGGGCGAGCGUUGUCCGGAAUUAUUGGGCGUAAAGGGUGCGUAGGCGGUCUUCUAAGUCUGAUGUGAAAGCCCCCGGCUUAACCGGGGAGGGUCAUUGGAAACUGGAAGACUUGAGUGCAGAAGAGGAGAGCGGAAUUCCACGUGUAGCGGUGAAAUGCGUAGAGAUGUGGAGGAACACCAGUGGCGAAGGCGGCUCUCUGGUCUGUAACUGACGCUGAGGCACGAAAGCGUGGGGAGCAAACAGG
rnacentral:rRNA from 1 species